GGUUAACAUAUAUAGGUAGGAGAUCAUGGCUAUUCCAGUCCUACCAUAUAUUGCUGUAUGUUGCAGAUCUAUUUCCUUUUGAGAUCAAAUGCACACAUGUUAAUAAAUUAGAAAAGAUGUCAAGAAUUAAAACUUUCUAAAUAAUUAAAUUUUUGUAUUAAUUAAAUAAUGAACUUAUCAUGGAUUUGCAUGCCAAGAUUAGCUACCGCAAUAGAAAAUUCACGGCGUGCACACAAACAUAUCAACUAUUAAAUUGGUAACGGUGAAAUAAUAAUGAAUUUUUUUGUUCACUUCUUUUCUCACUGAAAAAUAAUGCUUUGGCCUUUUAUGUCACUUGUUUGGUUGACUUUAUAUUAACUCAUUGUAGUAAUCUUUUGAUGUGUUGAUUUGGCAGCUUUUAUUAUGAAGUUAAGCUUGUAGACACACAUAUGAUCUGGUAGUUAUUUGUAUGAGUUCACAAGACAUUCGACAUGAAGCUUUUAGAAUACACCCCGUUCGACUGUAAAUGUGUUUCUUGAUCAACUAAACCUUGGUGAAUGUACAAUCAGGGGGAGCCUUGAAGCCUUCUCAUGCAAAGCAUGCAGGAAAUGAUCGUUGGAUUUCAGUAAGACUUGAACAUGAGGAGGAGUUUCAUUUGACGCUCUUCAAGACAAGCAAGAAUGAGCGCAUGUUCGCUGAUUGUAGCGGCAACAUACACCGUGAGUUUUCACCAUACUCCAGGAAGCCAUUUCAUCAGUUUUUGGCUUCUGACACACUCGGAGCAACAAUGAUACACCAAAGCAAGCAAAGAAGCCAAAAGAAGUUAAAUGUUUUUACCCGCUGCUGGCAUCCGAUGAGCAGUUGCAGGUGUCAACCAUAGUAUUGUUAUAUGAAGUGAGAGUUGCAUGUGCUGAUCUGAAGCUCCCUAAUGUGGCUGAUCUGGAGCUUAUACCCAUGAUAGGUAUGGCAGAAGCUGGUUGGUUACACAAGAUUUCUAAUUGAUUUAAUUAGGUAUGGCAGAAGCACAAGAUUUUGGAUGUC